CAGUUACCUAGGUCUCUAUUGUUCCAUUUGCACAAGAUAAAGGCAUUACAAGUUGCAACAGUAGGAUCCUAGGUUCAGCCAUUGAGGAGAUUCAAUCCGGGGCCUGGAUUCGAGGAUCCAAAUUUGACCGAUCUGCUGUUUCAGAACUUCAAAAAGGUGGUCGAGCGCAGGUACAACAAAUGUAGUUGAUUCUCUUUAAUCUAUAUUAAAAAAAAUUGAUAAAGGGAUGUAUAGAAUUGAGCUCAUACAAAUAAAUCUUUGAUGUCUACGUGCGUUGCAUUGAAAACCAAACAUGUAAACCGUCUUUUGUUUUGUCAUUUCCCAAGUUUGUAGAUUGUAGUUCGCAAUUGGUAACAACCUUCGAUUUUUUUAUGUGAAAUUGUCAUCUAACUUUGUGGA